UCCAUGUCUCAUCGCAUCUUGAGCGGCC
rnacentral:piRNA from 1 species